CCCUGGUUCACAGGUGUUAUAUGAAAGCUCAGGACUCAGAGUGAAGCUCUGUCUCCUUGUUUGCUUCUCUUUGCUUGUGUGUCUUCUACUGUUUUGUAUCUCACUCCACUCUCCAGAUCCUGCAGCUGCAACUCACAAUUCCAGGCAAGUUUCCCUAAUCAGGAUGCAGUGUUGGCUGACCAUAUGCUUUGAAACCCGAGCUAUAUUUCACCCAGACCUCUGAAGUAGCUGAGCAGCCACUCAACCUGGAGGACAGCAGCUGGCAGUGAGAGGCGGGCAGAGACGUGACCCAGAAGAGCAUCUGCUGAGAAGAGUUUUCUUUGUCGUGAGACUGAAGAGCUGGACAGAUACCAGGAAAACUAAUGGACUGACUGACUACGCAGAGACAGAAAGUGGGAAUAGCCAUUAUGUCCUGACAGCUGCCCCAAAUAAACAAGGAGAAAGAGGGAAGGAGUCUUCUGAGCUAUUGUUCUGGAGCCACACAUGCAAGAAGUGAGAGAAGACAAAACAUCUUCCACCUGGAAAUGUUUUUUUUUUUAGAGGACCAUAUUCCCCUCCUGCAAGGAUAUGGCAAAAACCUAUUAUAAUCAGCACCGUGAAUCAUAUGUCCUCACUACAGCUUGAGGAAGAGACUUCUUCAAGCCACAGAACAAAAAUGUGGUUUUUUGAAUGCCUUUAUGCCUUCUCAACACAGUGCUCACAUUUGCUGACAAAAACCCCUAAUGAGUUUUCGUGCAGAUUUCUUAUUUUGUUUUAUUUCAUUUUAUUGUAUUGUAUUGUAUUGUAUUGUAUUUUAUUUUAUCAUGCAUUCUAUCAGUUGCAGUUGAUAACAGUGGCAACAGUCAUACAGUGUAAUUAGCACUGUUGCUCUUCUGGCUUUGGUUUCAGCUCUAUGAAGGCAGGACUUUUAUGGGCUGCAAACCAAGGGCACUUUGUGAGUACUUUUCUGGCUUCUAGGAAGUGAUCAGUAGUGACAGCUAAACAUCCCAUCUAUUAUUUAUCAGCUUUAUCACAGUUUUGAGUUUUGCCCUUUAUAUCAUGCAGGAAAUGGAGCAGAGAAAUAGAACACCUCUGCAUGGGAAAUCACUUAACAUUGCAUGGAUUGAUCAAAAAACAAACCAGACCAGCAGCCAGGGACAGGGAAUGUGGACACCAGAAGGAAGAAGCAGGCUGCCAAAUGUUGGGGUUCAUAUAUUGACAGCUCCUCACGAUAUCUUUCAUUUUAAAAAACUGCAGUGUUCAUCCAUGCUGAAAGUCAGAAAAGGCAGUUCCACUGCCUAUGUCUGCAGAGGGCACAGGCAAGCAUUAUGCUGGUUCAUGGAAGUCUGCAUAAGAAAGGCACUCAAACUCUAUAAAGUAUCAUUUAAGUGCUAUGUUUUAGAGCUAAUGCUAUAAAGAAAGUAAGAAUGGCAUACAUAACUGUACAUCCCUUCUGAUGCCGGGAUGCUAGAGAAGUUUGUCCUGUAGACAAGGGAUGCAUGUGGCACAGCACAGUGUGGGGACUGCAGUUCAUGUGUGAGAUGGCUGCUUUGUGGGUGAGCACAGACAGAGGAGCUCAGCUCAGACCAAGCACUCGGCCCCACUGAGGCUUCCUUACCCCUGAUCCCUUACAAAAGCAGGCAGUGGUCAUGCCAAGCCCAGCAGCAUGCGCCCUCCACCCACCCAGCAGCACCAUGCACAUGGCAGAGGCUUGCAGGGGGACAUUGGCUCUGCAGUCCCACCCUGCCCCAGGAUGUUAUUGGCCGAUUAUUGGCAUCUGUGCACCGGGCUGCCCCUGGUAGUAAUUAUGGCUCAGGCGUAU
rnacentral:lncRNA from 1 species